GAGAGUAUUGCUCAGUGUUAGAGAGCGUGCUUAGCACGCACGAGGGCCUGGGUUCAAUCCCCAGUCCCUCC
rnacentral:tRNA from 1 species